CCUACGGGUGGCAGCAGUGGGGAAUAUUGGUCAAUGGGGUGAACCCUGAUCCAGCGACGCCGCGUGAGUGAAGAAUUAUUUCGGUAUGUAAAGCUCUAUCAGCCGGGAAGAAAGAAAUGACGGUACCUGACUAAGAAGCCCCGGCUAACUACGUGCCAGCAGCCGCGGAAAUACGUAGGGGGCAAGCGUUAUCCGGAUUUACUGGGUGUAAAGGAUGGUAGAAGGGAAUGCAAGGUUGAAGUGAAAGGCGGGGGACCCAACCCCGGACUGCCGUGGAAACUGUAUGGCCGGAGUGGAGGGGAGGUAAGUGGAAUUCGUAGUGUAGCGGUGAAAUGCGUAGAUAUUAGGAGGAACACCAGUGGCGAAGGCGGCUUACUGGACUGUAACUGACGUUGAGGCUCGAAAGCGUGGGGAGCGAACAGGAUUAGAUACCCCAGUAGUC
rnacentral:rRNA from 1 species